rnacentral:rRNA from 1 species
AUGGCGGCCGCCGUGAAGGUGUACGGGGCGGCCAGGUCUUGGAACAUAGCCAGGGUGCUCUUGAUCCUGGAGGAGGCCGGCAUCGAGUACAAGGUCAUCGCCGUCGACUUUGCCACCGCCAAGCACAAGAGCCCCGCCCACCUUCCAUUUGGUCAGGUGCCGGACACGCGAGCAACGAAGCGACGUAGGGACGGGAAGGCCACGGAGGUGGGCGGCUAG